AGUGUGUCAUGUGUGGAGAAGAAACCUCUAGCUAGCUAAUCACCCAUAUUUCCCCCAAAUUCAUGUCUAAUCUGUUUAAGUUUUUAAUUUACUUGUCUUUACUUUAAAUUCGUCAAAAACCCAAUCCCUUUUACUUUGCUGUGUCAAGUUAGUUAGAAUCUGUCAAAUUUGUGUUCUUAAGUGUUUUUAAGCGUUUUGAGUCAAGUUAAAUUUAAUUUUCGUCCAAUUCACUCUCUAGUGUCUAGUUUAAGUCUAUUGAUUGUUUUGUGCUGUUUUGAGUCUUUUUAGUUUGUUUUGAGUUCUUUGAGUCGAGUUAAGUGUUUUCAAGCC
rnacentral:lncRNA from 1 species